UAAAAGUACAAAAAAGGGAACUAGCUCAACACUGAAACUUUGCCUAAUAUGCUUCUGUGAAAUUGUUAAAGGUAAAACUAUAAAUGUUCACCUUUUAAUGCAGGAUUUAUUUCUGAGAGUAUUUAUAAAAUCUACAAAAAAGUAAAGAAACAAGUAGCUCCUUCCCUUCUUAAAGAAAUUUAUUCUGAUAAAAAGCAAAGUCUAGGAGCUCAAAUUAUUCUCGGAACAGGAGGUAAAAUUUUUCAUAUUACACUUGGUACUCCAGAAAGGGAUCAGAGAAAGAUUCCUUAUAAUGAGGUAGAAGCUUUGGUAAAUACCUUAGUCAGUUAAAGUCUGAUGAAAUAUUAAAAACUUUGAAAUAUUAAAAACUUUGAGUGUAAAGUUUGAGUCAAACAAGGAAAAAGUCCUGGAUGAAAAAAGUAAACUACUUCCAAACCGUCGCUGAACUAUAGACUGAACUAUUAGACUUUCAAGAAAAGGAAAAAGAUUAUAAUUUUGCUACAGUGAAGACUUUGUAUAUAUUAAAAGAGAGACUUUGUAUAUAUUAAAAGAGAGACUUUGUAUAUAUUAAAAGAAAGACUUUGUAUAUAUUAAAAGAGAGACUUUGUAUAUAUUAAAGAUAUUACAACAUUUCUGGAUUUUGUAAUGAAAUAUUGAGGGCAGGUUCCACAAAACACAUUUGUAAAGAUUGCGAUGGAUUCAGGUGGAGGAUCAUUGAAAUUAACAGUAAAUCUGUUUAAUUCAACCAAGGACAGGGCAGAAAAUAGCAGCUCCAUAGGAUCAUACUCAGAGGCAAAUACAUCAUUUUUUUUAGCUUAUUGUGAAAGGGUAAGUGAGAAUCAUUCUAACAUGACAAGGAUGAUGGAAUGAUUGAAGUUGCAUGAAUGCAAGUACUCAUUGGCUUCUGACAUGAAGUUAAUAUUGCAAGGAAAUUCGGCUCAUGGAGGAAAGUAUGUCUAUGCAUAGUGGGAAGGUUCUUCUGAACUAUUUUAUGGAGAGUUAAGAACAUUUCAAUCUUUGAAUGAUUACUAUGAACUGUCUGAACUUCAUCUGCAGGAUCUUCAGUGAAAAAAUGAAGGAGUAUAAAGUAUAAAUAAGUAUAUAGUAAAUAUUUUCAAGAUUUAUUCAUUCAUCACAAAUUUAUCAUUUUUAAAAGGAUAAAAAAUUAUUAUUUCCAUGUAUUUAGAAUGUUAUUAAUCCUUGUCUGCUCAAGAUAGAAGAAAAAUCCUUAAGUAUAAUAAGAGAAAUUCCAUCACCAGAACCUUACUUUCUGAUGGGAUUUGUUAACCAUAUGGCAGAAUUUAUAAUACAGCUUUGGUCUGGAUUAUACAUUGGGUCAAGAGUAGGGAUGGCAAACCUGGGAUCCCAGAAUCCCAAAUCCCAGGAUUCCGAACAAAUUAUUCAUCCCAAAAUCCGGGAAUUAGUCUGUCACAGACUAAUUCCAGGAUGUGUCACAAAAAAAAAAUUUUCUGGGAUUUUGGGAUGGUCACAAAAAAAUAAAAGUGCAAAAAGUUUAGGCUUAAUUUGUAAUUAAAAAACUUGUACACCAUAAAAGGUAAAUAUAGACUUUGGAAUAGUAGCUGUUUAGUUUUUUUAUUCUCUUUGCAAUGUUUUCUAAAGUUAAUACUAAAGUAAUUAGUGAACAAUUGAAUGAAAUGAUGGAAGAAGGAUUGGCAGCAAUACAAACACGUCUUAUAAGGGUAGUAAAAUAACUUCAAAAAUUUAAAAAAAAAUACUGUUCUUUGGAAGUAGUAGCUCAAGAUGUGAUCACCUUAAAAAAACAUAUGAUUAUAUACAUAAGGCUAUAGAUAUGGUAUCUAUAUGGCCAACAAAAGUGAAGUCUGAACGAGCAUUCUCAGCUGCUGGGUUUUUAUGUUUGAAAAAUCGAAUACAAUUAAGCGAUGAACUGAUUGGCGCUUUGAUUUUUUAGGGUAGUACUUUCAAAAAUAAAUAUAACUCAUGCAUAUUCAUGCAAAUCAUACUAUUUUUAUUUAAACUGUGCUAUCAAAUCAUGGUAUUGUUUUAUAAUUUAAAUUACUUUUUUUUAUUUCUGAUUCAUUUUUUUCAUUUGUGGUUCAUUAAUAAUGAAUGAAGUAUUUUAUUUAUAUUAUCAUUUAAUUAAUCAUUUUUAAGUGUUUGAUGAAUCCUUUAAAUGUUAGUUCUUCGUAUGCUUCACUUUCUACCAUUACAUUUUUUUCUAUUUAUUUCCAGGAUUUCUCAGGGACAAGUUUUUCAAUCCUGAAAUCCCGCGAUUGAAAAUGUCCGGGAUUUUUGCUAUCCCUAGUCAAGAGCAUUGGAUGCCUUCGAAAAGAUUACCAUAGAGAAACAUUUGAAGGAAAUACGUGUAGAAAGGUACUUGAAAGUUGCGACAAACUUGAGUUGAUAAUGCCUGUUGAACAAGAUCCUCUUUUGGAAACAAUCAGAAAGUUUAAUAAGGUUUUUCAUGGUGUAUUUGGCUAUAAACUUAACCCAAAUUUUUCAAUUUUAAUUGAAAAUUAAAAAUAAUCGCUGUAUUCUUUAACUUUUGUAUUUGAAACCAAGUUAUUGAUAAACAUAUUUAUAGUAAAUUAUUUUAGUUUUUAGAUAAACAGCUCACUGAAAUCUUAAAAGUACAUGUUGUAACCGCACAUCUGGAAACAUUUGUUGAUUUGAGUGGUAAAAAGUGAAAUAGACAGGUUUAGAGUUUCGCAGCACAACAACAAACAGCAAUAGCACAACAAAACAUGGAAAGAAGCAAAAGAAUUGCUGAAAUGUUUAGUUCAAAUAAGUUAUUGAACAUACAUCAAUUGUACAUCAAAACACAAACAUUAUUGAAACCUUAAGUUAAAAAUAUUUGUAAAUUCAUUCAAAAAGAAAAU
rnacentral:lncRNA from 1 species